rnacentral:sRNA from 2 species
AGUAAAUCUGAUAUCGUCGCCAUAGCUUCAAUCGUCGACCAAACAAAUUCAAGCCCCGCCAUCGUGCGGGGCUUU